rnacentral:SRP_RNA from 1 species
GCCAGGCAUGGUGGCGCAUGCCUGUAAUACCAGCUACUCAGGAGGCUGAGGCAGGAGAAUCACUUGAACCCAGGAAGCAGAGGUUGCAGUGAGCUGAGAUUGCGCCACUGCACUCCAGCCUGGGUGACAGAGUGAGAUUCUGUCUCAA